rnacentral:tRNA from 1 species
GGGCCGAUAGCUCAGCUUGGCUGGAGCGUUCGACUGAUAAAGAUUAUUCAGAUAUCGAAAGGUCGUGGGUUCAAAUCCCAUUCGGCCCA